rnacentral:rRNA from 1 species
GAGUUUGAUCCUGGCUCAGAACGAACGCUGGCGGCAGGCUUAACACAUGCAAGUCGAACGGUGAAGCCCUUCGGGGUGGAUCAGUGGCGAACGGGUGAGUAACACGUGGGCAAUCUGCCCUGCACUCUGGGACAAGCCCGGGAAACUGGGUCUAAUACCGGAUACGACCACGGAAUGCAUGUUCUGUGGUGGAAAGCUCCGGCGGUGCAGGAUGAGCCCGCGGCCUAUCAGCUUGUUGGUGGGGUAAUGGCCUACCAAGGCGACGACGGGUAGCCGGGCCUGAGAGGGCGACCGGGCCACACUGGGACUGAGGCACGGCCCAGACUCCUACGGGAGGCAGCAGUGGGGAAUAUUGCACAAUGGGCGAAAGCCUGAUGCAGCGACGCCGCGUGAGGGAUGACGGCCU